AAUCGGGAAAAAUGAGCAGCUGAGUACGACACUUUGGCAACGUUGCGAGCAGCGUUGCCAUAUUGUCGUACUCAGAACAUCGCAUUUUCCUGUUUCUGACCCAUAACAAUUGCAGAUAAACAUCGAUAAUUAACCAUCUGAACUCUAAUUGUGAAUGUAUAUCGUUAUCAGUGUUGGCUCGGCAGUUUUGGGCCUCAAGCAGAAGAAAAAGUUAAGCCCAGUACGACAAUAUGGUAACGCUGGCUGUGAAAUUGCGACUCUGCGAGUCAGUGCUCCGUCCACCACCAUCGAGGUUGGACGUACGGCCGUGCUCUCCCUCCUCCUCCACCUCCUGAGUAUUCCUGGCGGGCAGCGAUGGGCAAGCAGAAGAGACGCAACGCCUUCUUCUACUUCAUGAUGGCCGAGAAACCCGAGGUGGAGAAGCGGCUCAAGAGAAAGGUGGAGAUGGCCAAGCUGGUGACGGCGGAGUGGCAGCCAUCGUGCUGCCUCGGCCAGGAAGCACUCGCUGGAGACUCACAAGCUGCUGGGUGACUCGGAGGGCUUCGGGAACAGCCUUGAGGAAACUGCCGAGAAUCUGAAGCAGCUCUUGUCCAAGUGAUGAUGCUCCCAGCCAGGACUGGGAUGAGGACGUCCCUGUCCACACCCUGCAGCGCAACAAGCACACCACAUGUUGAACACUGUCACAGGUCAAGAUCUUCUCCCCGGACCUGCUGUACCGGUUGAUGUACUUGGCGGCAGUGAGUGACAUCCCCCUGUCCGUGGCCACUGACAUGCUGGAAGAGUGUGGCCUGGACUACCUCCCCAACACAGCCUGCUCGGUGAGUCCCUGGCAUGUUAGUCCUGUAUAUUUAACCCGGUAGCAGUGGGGAUCAUGAUUCUUAAUGGUAGCAUAUGAGAGGAAGGGACAGGUGUUGGGACUGUGUGGCAGAGCAGAGGGGAGGAAAGGACCCACGGAAUUGAACGCCCAGACUAUAUGAAAUGGUUUGACUAUACUAGAAUUCUUACAGUAGCAUCAUUAAGCCAUGUAUGUACGCAAACUAAACAUUAUUUAAGAUAUUUACAACAGAAUGGAAUGAAAGUGUGUGUGUGUGUGUAAUUCAGCUCUUGGUCUGCUGCGGGUCAGCCAGCCAGCCGUUCCCCUACGGAAGAGCACAGAGCUCGUAGUACCAAUCUUUGGGCAGGACUGAGACCACUCACACACAACACACCGCCACAACGAGGUCACAACUCCUUGCCUGACGUCGCGUACACUGCUAGGUGAACAGGGGCUACACGUGAAAGACCCAACUCAUCUUCACCCGGCCGGGGAAUUGAACCCCGGCCCUUCUGGUUGUGAGGCAGACGCUCUACCCACUGAGCUACCGGGCCGUGGGUUGUGGGCUGUGGGUGAGUUGUGGGCAUUUCCAGGGUUAGUU